rnacentral:lncRNA from 1 species
UAGAAUUUCAUCUCUCUGGGUGUCUAGUUUUAAGAACUGCUCCUCUCUUACUGUCUUAGCAUUGAGGAGAAAUCGCAUCGGCACCAUUGAGCAGGGAACAUUUGCAGACAUGCAAAGAUUGAUAGACCUAGACGUGUCUAUGAACCAGAUCAAAGACCUGCCUCCAUCUCUGUUCCAGAACCUCCAGAACCUCAAACAGCUGUGAGAGCCACAUUCUGCACUUUUUUUUAUUUCUGUUGCAAAUGG